UAUGUAAAAUAUUACAAGGAAUCAGGGAAAAAUAUUUUCAGACAUGGGCUCUUUGGUCCCGUGACCUUGAAAUCGGCAAAUGAAAUUUUCAUAGAACCUUUUCAAAUAUUCAGCUAGUUUUUUUGGACCUCAACAUAUUUUUGCUUAAAAGCCCAACUAAUAACCAUUCUUUUGAAUUGUGGCGCUCUAAAAUUGGUUCAGCCGUUCCGGAGAUAUGAAUUUUUGAAAAUUGUGGUUUUUGCGAAAAUCGACGAAAAAUGCCAUUUUUUGGACCACCCUAUUUCGGAUAGGACCACCCUAAGCGCCAAACAAAAAAAUACGGGUCUAAUUAUUUGGGCCAAGGAACCCCCACUCCAAAUUUGAGCCAAAUCGGAGCACUUUUGAUUUGGAGACUUCCUGUUUGACGUGGAAUGGCUGUAUAUACUUCGUGGUAACUCACCAAUUGUUGAAAAGGUAAUUAGCAAAAACAUUAAAAUUAACGAAAUCACUACAAGAAAAUAAAUUAAAUAACACAUGCACAUGAACAUUUUAAAAUUCAAUAAAUAGCAUGCAAAUAAAUAAAUUAAAAAAAUGAAUAAGUUUAUGACAGGGGCUCCGGAGCAAUUAUGUACAAAAGUAAAGUCAUGUGUGACUAUCCAUGAAAUAUUUCAACGUUGUCGGAGUUGCGGUUUAGUACACUAUCUCGAGAUCUCGUUAUCACCGUUGUGUCUGUGUGCAUGCGAUCUUAUCAGGGAACUCACAGAAUCUGUCAAUCAUCUGUCACUAAAAUGUGCUUUAAGAUGCUGUAAACAUGUGAAAAGUGUGUUGAGAUUUUAAUUGGAGAAUUUUUGGGUGCGCGCGGGGCGAAAAUUGGUUUUAUCAUGUUUAUUUUCGUACGAAAUUUAAUGGCCAUGUUGAUCUCUGUGGAUAACAACGAUUUUCGCUUGGUAAUCCCUGAAAAUUUCCUCUUAAAACUCAACACUAAACUCUAUGACUAUGAAAACCUUUUUGGAACGAUCCUUAAUUUGUCGUACGUCGUGUACCUAAUGACACCCACGUACUGGUUCCUAAGCGCGGUGCAUCCACUAUGCCACCUACUUUUUGGAUUUUCCUGACAUUUCCCGCCCGAACGCUGCAGACCUUCUUGGAGUUGACAAACUGGAGUAGUCGGUUGGUUUAGGAAAAAGAUCCUUUACGCCUUGAGAUCGGCAGCCGAGAACACGCCGAGGGACUUUCCGUUCAAGUCCGACACCUCGUACGAGCUGGUGCCCUUCUUACGGACGAUGAUGCACGGUGUGUACUGGGGUCCGAGCUUGGCGUUGUAUUGGUGUCCUGCCGACGACUGACGAAAGCUUUUUUUAUACACACGCUGACCCACAUCGAAACUUGUUGAGUAUCGCUGGUGUCUAAGGUCGUACUUCCGUUUAGUCUCCUCGUGAGCUUUUUUCAGCUGCUCUCUCACGAACUCAUAAAUUCUCUUCGUUACUCCGUCGAAUUUUUUCAUUCUCUCUUCCUCGCUGAGUUCUUGCUCCUUCUCAAGCCUGUGAUCCGAUCCCUUACUGAUGAUCUCGUGACCAAAAACGACGCAAUGCGGACUAAAUUUAGUCGUCGAGUGAAUGGUGUUAUUAAGCACGAACUCGAUUUCCGACAAUUUUGUG